rnacentral:rRNA from 1 species
UACGGGGGGGGCAAGCGUUGUUCGGAAUUACUGGGCGUAAAGGGCUCGUAGGCGGCCAACUAAGUCCGACGUGAAAUCCCCAGGCUCAACCUGGGAACUGCGUCGGAUACUGGAUGGCUUGAAUUCGGGAGAGGGAUGCAGAAUUCCAGGUGUAGCGGUGAAAUGCGUAGAUAUCUGGAGGAAUACCGGUGGCGAAGACGGCAUCCUGGACCGACAUUGACGCUGAGGAGCGAAAGCUAGGGGAGCAAACGGG